rnacentral:rRNA from 1 species
UACGUAGGGUGCAAGCGUUGUCCGGAAUUAUUGGGCGUAAAGAGCUUGUAGGCGGUUUGUCGCGUCUGCUGUGAAAUUUCGGGGCUCAACCCCGAACUUGCAGUGGGUACGGGCAGACUAGAGUGUGGUAGGGGAGACUGGAAUUCCUGGUGUAGCGGUGAAAUGCGUAGAGAUCGGGAGGAACACCAGAGGCGAAGGCGGCGACCUGGACAAGCACUGACACUCAACUACGAAAGCGUGGGGAGCAAACAGG